GAUUAGCUCAGUUGGGAGAGCGCUGCGUUCGCAACGCAGAGGUCGAGGGUUCGAAUCCCUUAUCGUCC
rnacentral:tRNA from 1 species